CCAAUAGCGUAUAUUAAAGUUGUUGCAGUUAAAAAGCUCGUAGUUGAAUUUCGGGGUUCAUACGUUGGUCGGGCUUUUUGGUCUGUACUAGCGUAAUGGAUUCCUACCUUCUGAAUAACCGGCAUGCCAUUAAUUUGGUGCGCCGGGGAAGCAGGACUGUUACCUUGAAAAAAUUAGAGUGCUUAAAGCAGGCUAUCGCAUGAAUACAUUAGCAUGGAAUAAUGAAAUAGGACGGCAUGGUUCUAUUUUGUUGGUUUCUAGGAUCACCGUAAUGAUUAAUAGGGAUAGUUGGGGGCAUUAGUAUUCAAUUGUCAGAGGUGAAAUUCUUGGAUUUAUUGAAGACUAACUUCUGCGAAAGCAUUUGCCAAGGAUGUUUUCAUUAAUCAAGAACGAAAGUUAGGGGAUCGAAGACGAUCAGAUACCGUCGUAGUCUUAACCAUAAACUAUGCCGACUAGGGAUCGGACGAUGUUAAUUUUUUAAUGACUCGUUCGGCGCCUUAC
rnacentral:rRNA from 1 species